rnacentral:rRNA from 1 species
CAAUAGCGUAUAUUAAAGUUGUUGCAGUUAAAAAGCUCGUAGUUGAACCUUGGGCCUGGCUGGCCGGUCUGCCUCACCGCAUGCACUGGUCCGGCCGGGCCUUUCCCUCUGGGGAUCCGCAUGCCCUUCACUGGGUGUGUCGGGGAACCAGGACUUUUACUGUGAAAAAAUUAGAGUGUUCAAAGCAGGCCUAUGCUCGAAUACAUUAGCAUGGAAUAAUAGAAUAGGACGUUGCGGUUCUAUUUUGUUGGUUUCUAGGACCGCCGUAAUGAUUAAUAGGGACAGUCGGGGGCGUCAGUAUUCAAUCGUCAGAGGUGAAAUUCUUGGAUCGAUUGAAGACUAACUACUGCGAAAGCAUUCGCCAAGGAUGUUUNCAUUAA